CAGUCGCCGCGGUAAUACGAAGGGGGCUAGCGUUGUUCGGAUUUACUGGGCGUAAAGCGCACGUAGGCGGAUCGAUCAGUCAGGGGUGAAAUCCCAGAGCUCAACUAUGGAACUGCCUUUGAUACUGUCGAUCUGGAGUAUGGAAGAGGUGAGUGGAAUUCCGAGUGUAGAGGUGAAAUUCGUAGAUAUUCGGAGGAACACCAGUGGCGAAGGCGGCUCACUGGUCCAUUACUGACGCUGAGGUGCGAAAGCGUGGGGAGCAAACAGGAUUAGAUACCCCUGUAGUCCCUGUCUCUUAUAA
rnacentral:rRNA from 1 species